UUCUGAUGCUGUAAUCAGAACAAAGAGUCAGCCAAACCACAUCUGCCUCUUUUAAUUCAUUCCUUCCAUUUUGGGGACUUAUCCUUCAGAAACAGCUAUCAGUGAUUACAUGAAAGAGAUUAGCUAACAUUUCAGCAUAAAUCAAGGCCAGUGCAAGAUGUUUCCUACAUGCAUUGCAAAACCCAGGGCUCAUGGAGGACAAGUUCCUCAUAACUCAGUAACGUUCCCCUCCUCCCAGCGGGUAAGGCAGUGCGAGAGCUGGGUAGAGCCAUGGACAAAACCUGCCGAGUUCUUCACUGGGCUUCUCAAAACAACCUUUCAGAAAAACUCUUGACGAAAAUAUGUGAAUGGCGGGGGAUGGUCUGCCCCAGUCCUUUUCAGCCCUCCUACGCGUGCUUGCAGAGCUUGUCUGACGUAGUCCUUAGAAACUACACAUCUAAUAUUAUAUUGAGGCACCAACAUGGGACAGCACGAGAGAAACUUGCUUUGUUGUUGACUGCCUUCUGGAUAAGCACAAAUUGGGGACGAUUUCUCAUCUGGUGAGUGUGUGUGAGUUUGUUUUCCUAUUCUUUUACUGUUUGGGCUAUCAAGAUGGUAAUUGUUCACUGAAGCGAUGGAGGAUGCUUUGAAAGAAGAGAUGCAUUUUGUAAUUGACUCAGGAGCUUUAUUUGUAUAGAAAAUUAAUUGAAAGCUGAAAUACAGAGACUUAUUCUGACGUGAGAGCCUUCCUUCAUCACUAGCUGUCAUAAGACUCCUCAGAUGAAUUGGAUCUUAAACGUGACUGUGAUAGGCAUGCUGGAAAUACCUAAAGCAGAUAAAUCUGACACAUUUGCUGUCACUGUAGGCCAAGCAUGUAGGCCAAGAAGUAUCGCUCUACACAAUGAGCACAAGCUGUUAAAAGAAAGCAUUUUAGGUGCCCUUGUUCUUUUUAAAACAAUGCCUUAUCUCCCCUCCUUUAAGGGUAAGUUUGUGUAUUUGCAUGUUGUCAGGUAUUUAGAGUAUGAGAUUUAUUAAAUGUGGUAUUAUUCUGUAUUUGCCUACCUCGUAUGUUUUGCAAAGAGAAUUUUAUCACUGUAUCUUAUAUAUGUGGCCUGAUACUACCAUUAUAAGGUCAAUAUACAUGUGAAAAUUACAGUAUGGGUGACCGUUAGCCAGACAAUGCUAAAGGAAAUAUGUUGGUAAUUGGACUGUAGUAAUUGGUCUGUUACAUAGAUGAUUGUAUGAUGUAAGUAUCCAGUGUAUAGGUUGUAUGUUACACUCCUCCCAUCUUGGGACCAAAAUGAGAGGGGGGGGAAGAAGAGGAACGUUUCUGGCUAAGGGGCCCUGUGAAAGGUCUCCUGUCCUCUGUGGCUACAGAGUCUGGCAAAACGAACAGGCUAGCAAGAGGAGUGUGUGCACGUGAGUUGGAUGAGGCCUACAGUAUACCAUUAUCUGGGGUCAAAUACAGCUUCUCUGCAGCUAUGCUCCCCUAUGCUUUGUCCCUGCAUGAUCUGAAUCUGCCUUAGCCACAGUCCAGGGUUGCUGGACCUUCCUUUCAGAUUGGGAGCAUUUAUGCAUGUAGACUUUAAGCCCCCCGCAAAUGGUGACCAUAAGAGAAGCAGCACUCUGAAGUCAUAAACAAAUGGUUAAUGUAGUUGUAUGUGCAGUUAGAUAAGCUAUUCUUUAUACUUAGGACUGUUUCCUCCUUUCAUCUUACUUUUUUUCCUUGAUACCAUAUAGUGUUUAACAAUUCAAUGUAUGCAUAAUCCAAAAUAAACUCACUA
rnacentral:lncRNA from 1 species